rnacentral:lncRNA from 10 species
UAACUAGUACAAAUACAAUCAGUAUUAUAUACAAAAAGGCUAUCCUAACAGAGAGGGAAGGGAGAAUUCAGUCCUCAGUUUCCCCUUAUCUGAAGUCUGUGUGACAGCAGUUGGCGUUUUCCAUCUGGUAGGGGUUCAGGUGUGAAAAACAAGUCGGAGACUUAGGUGAAGAUAUUAUCUUUAGUUUCCAUAGGGAACCAAACAUCUCAUGGCUCUAACUUAUUUGGAUGGUCAUUGUUUUAAGCUACAGUCACCUUCUUGCUUAUCAAAUUGCUCACUUACUUCUUAAGGCUAGUGAGGUACCUAGAAUUUCCCUCGAAGAAACUCAAGAUUUUCUUUUAUUUCCAUGUUGGAGAGGCUCAGUUGGCCCCUUAGGGGGGCCCCUACUCUGUCUCAUGGGGAGAAGCAGUCUCUUACUUUGGAGAUUGAUAAUCCUAGGUUAAAUCCUUUCUUUACUUUUUACUAGGUGUUAGCUGUGCCCAUACCAGUGCCAGGCAGAACCUCAGUGCCUCCCCCGAAGUUGUAUAUAUGGAGAGGGGCUGGUGAGCCCAACCUUUCUGCUGAGCUAAUGUUGUGAAGUCUUUUCUUGAGUAAUCAACAUUUCUCAUGUAUGAGGAGUGGCAUUUUGUAGUGAUUAAAUUCCUGGACUUUGAAUUCGGACAGAUCGGGGAAGCUCUUAGAACCUGUUUGCUGUAUAACAUUAAGCAAGUUGAUUCCUCUCUCUGAGUGUCAGUUUUCUCAUCUACAAAUUAGCGAUCAAUAAUAGUACUUAUCUUUUCAUUUGGAAUGAUGAUUGAGGUAAGGUUUGGAAACUCCUUAGCACAGAGCUUGGCACUUUGUGAACCUUCAAUCAAGGAUAGCUGGGAGACUGGCUGUGGUCUGGGUCUUUACUCUUAGGAAGGCACUUUAUAAAGUCAUCUACUUUUCCUACAGUGAGUUGGUGUCUGCUGUCCCCGCCUCCUUGAUUAGUGGAAACACCUGGGAACCCAGGAAAUUUCACCAAGUGCUACACAUUUGGAUGGGCAAGCCAUUUCCCUCCAUGCUCUCUGUUAGCAACACAGGAGUCAGGCUUAGAGAGCUGAGCUCAAUCUUUAAUCUUCUGUCAAUGAAAUCCUUACCUGUGGUUUGCUGACACAUUAGGUCUCCCCCAGGGCACAGAGUAAUCCAGUGCCUUCUCCUUUCAAACGGACAAGGGGCGGUCCUCGCUGGUGAACAGCUCUUCUUCCACUGGCCUCCUUCCCGAGGCCUGUUGUAAGGGUUAUGUGAGACCUUCAAUCCUAGAGCGGAGAAAAUGUACCUACCUUGUAUCUUACAACUUUUGAUUCAAGUGAGAGCUUGGAGAGAAAUAAACAUAUUCAAAUAAGAAACAGAAUAAAUGAGGAUUUGAAAAGCCAGAUCAAAUUGAGACCUCGAAGCACAGGAUGAAUGCAACUUGGGUCAUUUGAUGCCAAAUGUCAGAUUCCUGACAAAAUAAAUUCUAGGUUUUUUUUUUUUUUUGGAGACAGAGUCUCACUCUGUUGCCAGGCUGGAGUGCAGUGGUGUGAUCUUGGCUCAGUGCAACUUCUGCCUCCCGGGUUCAGGUGAUUCUUCUGCCUCAGCCUCCCAAGUAGCUGGGACUACAGGUGUGUGCCAUCACACCCAGCUAAUUUUUGUAUUUUUAGUAGACAUGGAGUUUCAUUAUGUUGGCCAGGGUGGUCUUGUUCUCUUGACCUCAUGAUUCGCCCGCCUCAGCCUCCCAGUGUUAGGAUUACAGGCGUGAGCAACCGCACCCUGUCAGAUUCUAUCUUUCUUCACUGUGUAAACCCUUCAUAGAUUUCCUGCUCUCUGUUCUUCCCAAAUAGCCUAACCCCAAGGGAAAAAUUGAUCUCAGUAUCUUUUUGGAGAAGUCAGUCUCCUUGUUGAAUGUGAGAGGCAACAUGGUCUGUAGAGCCCCAGGAUCAAAGGAUGCUGUGUGGCCUCUUGACCCUGCAUUGGUGUCUUUCUAUUACUCAUCUUCAACCAACAAAUACACAAAGUACAUAUGCACAGUACACACAUGUAUAAGUGCUUAACAGGACUGGAAGCAGGGGGAAUAAGGCUGGUCAAGGUUUGUCCUGCCACCCAUGAGCUCAUAUGCUUCCUGAGGAGACCAAUAUACAAUUAGGAUACAAGUUGAGAAAUGUCAUGGCAGAGAUAAGUGCAAACUUCAUAGGUGUGAGUGAUAUUUGAAAUAGUUGACAACUGGCCAGGUGCGGUGGCUCAUGCCUGUAAUCCCACAGCACAGGGAGGCUGACGUGGGAGGAUUGCUAGAGCCCAGGAGUUUGAGAUCAGCCUGGGCAACAUGGUGAAACCUCGUCUCUACAAAAAUUACAAAAAUUAGCUGGGCGUGGUGGCUCAUGCCUGUAGUCCCAGAUACUCAGGAGGCUGAGGUGGGAGGAUUGCUUGAGCCUGGGGGGUGGAAAUAGCACCACUGCACUCGCUCCAGCCUGGGUGACAGAGUGAGUUAGACCCUGUCUCAAAAAAAGCAACAACAACAAAUACCAAAUAUUUAACAAUUGUUAGAGUCACUGCAAAGGCUGUUUCUUACCCACAGCCAGGGCAGUGUGACUAAGACAUGCCAGAUGGGAAUAGGGCAUUCUCUUUUGGGUCCAGGCCCAUCCUGGGAGUGGUGGGAUGGAUGUGAGGGAAUGAGGGGCCUCCGUCAAGCUGGCUGGGUGGCAGGCGCUGCACGGCUCUGAGGGAUUGAGCAGCCGAGGCAGUGGGACAUAGUAAGGGGCUGAGGCCCAGGGCAGUGUAAGCAUCCCAUUGGUGUGGAAGUAUUUCCAUAUUUUACCAAUGAUAUGCUCUUUGAGAAGCAAUAUCCCAUGGAAAUAUAAUGAGAGCAAUAUCUAUGUAAUGAAACAUACUUAGGAGACAAAGAAUAAAAGUAAAAAGAAACAAGGGAAAUUAAAUUUGGCAUUUGUCUUACUCAGUAGGUCCAAAAUGUUAUCUCAACAUGUAACUAAUAUCCAACUGAUUAAUGAGCGAUUUCACUCUUUUUGUUGUUGCUGAAAUCCAGUGUGUAUUUUCAGUUUAGAGCCUGCCACCUGUGGUUACCGUAUUGCACAACACAGGUCUAGUAGGAAGGAUUGUGAGAAAAGCAGCCCUCUGUGCUCCCUGGAUUUUGGGGGAGGUGACCUUCCAGUUGCCUGGAAUUUUCUGCAGGAUCUGUCUGUGGUUUUCUUCUUUGAUUAGCCCACCUGUAAACCCACGCAGCCCUUAACAGGUGCAGAAUUUACAAUGAGACACAGUAGCUCUUUCAGCACUGAGCUCCAUUACACUAAUUAUCUGGCCUAUGGCUUAGUGCUGCCUUCAUUACCAAACCAAAGGCUUAAUUGCUCUUUUAAGCUCCUUUGAAUUUUUAGACUCAAUUUACCUGCAGCCUCCUGAAACUCAGGCACCCGAAUUUACUAAGGAUAAGUGGGGAUUUGCUGUGUGCUGAGGCCUUGUUAGGCCCUCCUAGACUUGCAUUUUCUUUUUUAUUCAGCGAAGUGAGAUAAUGGUCUUUUCUUUCCUUUUGCCUUCCUCACAGUUGGUGACACCUGCAGGCUGAAGCAGCAUUUUCUGUACUUUGGCACCACCUUGUGGUUCAGCUGAAAAAAGUCUAGAAAUGGGCCGCAUCCAUCUUGGGCUCAUUGAGCAUCAUGAACAGUCUUGAAGGGCCAUCUGGCUUUUGUUAUCUCCUUCAGCCUGAGAAGAAAUGAGAUUUGUUACUGGAUAGGGAAUGUCUCCUAUAGGCUAAACCGCCUGCUGAGAAAUCCAACGAGGUAAUGGCUCCAAUUUGAACUAAGCAGAGAGUCAUGCAGAAACAUCAAUCCAGGCUGCCGCUGUUCUCUAUUAUUUAGAUUGAAUUGUGUCUACUUUCCACAGAUGACUCGGCUCAGCCAGAGAACUUGGCAUCUCUGUGUGCUGUUACUGUAAAAUGGGGAGUGAUUGUUUUCAGCUGCUCCAAGUUAGGAAUUAGCUCCUGGCCAUUGAUAAUACCUCCUGGAAACCGUGCUCACUUCAUUGGAUCCACAACCCCAUCUGCAGCUGAAUUUUAUCAACAGACAUGUUGCUUUGGCCAGCAUUGGUUGAAUAUAGUGUUAGAAAACGGACAGAUUGUACAGAGGUUUUGCCAAGAUCCGUGUCCCAGUAAUUUUUACUGUGAGUAACUUUAUGCACUUCCCUGUUAUUCUACACCUGUACUCCUUAAUUCCCUUAUCAUUUGUUCCUGCGCCAAAGGUGUGUGAGUUUGCAAUUUGCUUACUGGUAUGGAGAGGCUGUUUGAUUUGCUUGUGGUCACUGGCAGAUUCUUUUUUUUUUUUUAAUUUUUAUUUUAGGUAUGGGGUACCUGCGAA